rnacentral:rRNA from 1 species
UACGUAGGGGGCAAGCGUUGUCCGGAAUCAUUGGGCGUAAAGAGCGUGUAGGCGGCCCGGUAAGUCCACUGUGAAAGUCCAGGGCUCAGCCCUGGGAUGCCGGUGGAUACUGUCGGGCUCGAGUCCGGAAGAGGAGUGUGGAAUUCCUGGUGUAGCGGUGAAAUGCGCAGAUAUCAGGAGGAACACCAAUGGCGAAGGCAGCACUCUGGGACGUGACUGACGCUGAGACGCGAAAGCGUGGGGAGCAAACAGG